rnacentral:lncRNA from 1 species
UGAAAUGCUAUAAAUUUUAGUCAAUAUGUGAUUUCCAACACACUCUCACGUUGAGAAAGACAGCUUGUGUAGGACAAUAUAUUAUGGGUGGUCCCAUAACAAUCCAAUAGCGAGUAAUCUUAUAAGUGCAACAAACACUUGCUAAGAUAUAUUCGAAAUGACUCUGAUACUGACUCUGAUACCAUUUUGAAGUGGACUUUAAGCCUAAUUCAACUUCAUAAAAUCUCUAUUUUAUUUUAUAAUACUUAAUGAAACAAAAAAAAAAUGGAAAUUGUUCUUUGUAGACUUAGAAUAAUGGCAUUGAUGUGUUAGAUACCUACCUGUUGUAUAUGUGCAUCAUAAUAUUAGACUGUUACUUCUUGAGAAUUCAAGUGAGUGACCAUAAAAGUAUGUUGUGGUUGGGCAGCAUCUGAUCCUGAGAGCUUGAGAUGGAAUGUUCAGGCAGAGCUGGUGCACUGCAGAUGGGCCAUGUUGGGUGCUGCUGGCAUUUUCAUCCCAGAAUUCCUCACAAAGAUUGGUGUCCUUAACACCCCUUCAUGGUACACUGCUGGAGAGUUGGAGUAUUUCACAGACACUACCACACUCUUCGUAGUUGAGCUCUUUUUCAUUGGGUGGGCUGAGGGCAGAAGAUGGGCUGACAUCAUCAAGCCAGGCUCUGUCAACACUGACCCCAUCUUUCCCAACAACAAGCUCACAGGAACCGAUGUUGGGUACCCAGGUGGGCUUUGGUUUGAUCCACUUGGCUGGGGAAGUGGUUCUCCAGAGAAGCUCAAGGAGUUGAGAACAAAGGAGAUCAAGAAUGGGAGGUUGGCCAUGUUGGCUGUGAUGGGUGCAUGGUUCCAGCACAUAUACACUGGCACUGGUCCUAUUGACAACCUCUUUGCUCACCUUGCAGAUCCAGGCCAUGCUACUAUUUUUGCUGUAAGUUCAUUUUACAACUGCUCUUGCCUAAUUUGACUAAUCUAUCAUGGAAAAAACUUGGAUACAUUUUUAUAGGUAUUUUAGGUAGUGAUUUUUAAUCUGUUGACAUUUAAUGGAAGUCUUCAAUACCUGCAUUGUGGAAAUGAAAUCCUGAUUGGAGAAUAGUACUAAAAACAU